rnacentral:lncRNA from 1 species
GGUAGGCAACACAGGAAUGUUAUAGUACUCUGUCUUUACAAAGUUUAAAAUACCUUGAAUUUCUUUUAAAAUAAAAAUAAAACAUGAUCAUUAUGGGAAAAGGUAGACAAUAAUUUCUGGUGAAGUGAACCCAAACUAUUAGCUCUACUUUCUUCUCACUAGAAAAACACUACAAUUAUAUUAAGGGAAGAAGAAAGAUAAAAAUCGACAGGGGCAAAGAGAUUAGGUGAGGAGACAGCACCAACAAUGACAACUUAUGUUUAGAAGAUGGAAAAAUAAAUGAAUAAAUGAUAACUGGCAGAACAAAGAAAGCUGAUAGCAAGUGACUGCCGAAGAUGUCACCACAGGAUGAUUUGGGCAGCAGAGCCCCAGGAGAGCUCAGGAAGAAAAGGCACCAAGAACCUCAGAAACAAGAAGUACAGCUAAAAACAGGAGAACUGGGUACAAGCCCUGUCCAUGUACACUUCUGAUAAUCAUUUUUACUGAAUUUUAAUAUGAACAGAUAACCAAAGACGUUUGGGAGAAAGCCCUAGCGUGAAAGAGAGGAAAAAUUGCAAAGGGCCGGGGUUGUGGCUCAGUGGUAGCGCACUCGUCUGGCAUGUGUGAGGCACUGGGUCUGAUCCUCAGCACCACAUGAAGAUAAGUAAAUAAAGUAAAGGUAGUGUCCAUCUACAACUAAAAACAUAUUUUUAAAAAAUGCAAAGUAAAGAAACCGUAAGACUUGUAGGAAGUAGAGACAAUGCAGAUAACAGAAGAAAACUACUUAACAGCACUUUCCGUCCCCUGCUCCUUCCACUCUGGUCUCCAUAGCUAGUUAGUUCCCACGUUCCAUAGGAUGAGUCAUGUGUGCAUUAUAAGCUCUUUUUUAUCCCUGUACAUUUUUGUGUGGAGUUAAUGACAUGUAUUUUGUUGAUUCUUUAAUUUUCUGUGUAUCUAUCACAAAUGUAACUGUCCUCUAGCUGUUCAGACACCUUGGGAAUUUGCUCAGUUUCCUCUUUUGGAGAAAUCUCCCUGGACCUGCUGGCCUGGUCCCGCUGGGGCUGCUGUGUAAGCUGUCCUCUUGGGAUCCCUCCUUCCUCUCCUGCUCUCUCCUGUGUUGGGUUCUUGUUUCUUAAUUGCUGUGUCUUCCUUCCUUAGUUUAUGUCCUACUUUUGAUGGCUCACACUCUUCUGGAACAUGUGUCCAUCUGUUUUCUAACUCCCAGAAACAUGUUCCUGCUUCUCCUGUUCUCUUUGUUCUUGUGGACCUAUACCUAGAGAAAAUUCUUCUUCUUUUCUUUAAUGGUUUAAGGGUACUAGGAGACAGCAAUGCAAAAUACAUGUGUUUCAUUGACCUUCUUUAUUUACAAUCUAAUUUCAUUUCAGAACUCAUCACUAUGGCAUUAGUGUAUAGUUUAGGUUUGGAGUUGGGCCAAUGUUGUAGGCUGGGAGAUCCAUGGAAGGCUGUUCAAAUAAUUCCAAAAAGAGACGAUGAUGGUCAAGGUGUGGGCGAUGAGGUGGAGAGAGGAUGGAUUUUUCAGAGAAUGGUGUACAUUCUACUGCUCAGCACCUGAGGUUAUUUUAGGUGCUUCAUAGAUCAAUCCAUAGAUAGAUAAUCUCUAUUUUUUUACUACUUGUGCAUUUAUAUUUUGUGUUACAAAUAUAUAUGACUAGCAUAUCAAACUUGUGGUUUCCCAGAAGGUUUUUCAAAGUUGAAGCUAAAAUAGCUACUUGAGUUUUUAAAAGAAAGUUAAUUAAAAGUAGUAAGUAACUUUUGUCCUGGGGCAGUGUAUUUAGAGAACUGUUGGUGGGGACCUGGCUGGACAGUUGCUGGCUUCACCCCAUCAGUCCUCCCAGCAACAGCCAGAGCCUCUCCCCCGCUUCCUGCCACCUGUCCACUCUUUCUUUGCACAGUGUUUGCACCGAGUCUCAUCCUCCUUUGUCUUGCUCUUAAAUUUCUCAGUCUCGCAAUGUGUGAACAGCUUCCUCUCACCAUCUCCUCAAUCCUGGCUUUUGCAGUCUUGUGCUCGAUACGAGAUUUUGGAGUUCCUAAUGGCAUUUUAUUUUUUAUUUUUUAAUUUUUAAA